GUAGCUGGUCUGAGAGGAUGRCCAGCCACACUGGGACUGAGACACGGUCCAGACUCCUACGGGAGGCAGCAGUGGGGAAUAUUGGACAAUGGGGGCAACCCUGAUCCAGCAAUGCCGCGUGUGUGAAGAAGGCCUGAGGGUUGUAAAGCACUUUCAGUGGGGAGGAGGGUUGAUAGGUUAAGAGCUAAUUAAYUGGACGUUACCCACAGAAGAAGCACCGGCUAACUCCGUGCCAGCAGCCGCGGUAAUACGGAGGGUGCGAGCGUUAAUCGGAAUUACUGGGCGUAAAGGGUGCGUAGGUGGUUUAUUAAGUUAUCUGUGAAAUCCCUGGGCUUAACCUGGGCAGGUCAGAUAAGACUGGUAGACUCGAGUAUGG
rnacentral:rRNA from 1 species